rnacentral:rRNA from 1 species
UACAGAGGGUGCGAGCGUUAAUCGGAAUUACUGGGCGUAAAGCGUGCGUAGACGGUUAUUUAAGUCGGGUGUGAAAGCCCCGGGCUCAACCUGGGAAUUGCAUUCGAGACUGAAUAGCUAGGGUACGGUAGAGGGAAGUGGAAUUUCCGGUGUAGCGGUGAAAUGCGUAGAUAUCGGAAGGAACAUCGGUGGCGAAAGCGACUUCCUGGACCAGUACCGACGUUCAGGCACGAAAGCGUGGGGAGCAAACAGG